GUUUCUUUGGCAGUGUCUUAGCUGGUUGUUGUGCGCAGUGAUUGAGGAAGCAAUCAGCAAGAAUACUGCCCCAGAAGU
rfam:Anolis carolinensis unplaced genomic scaffold chrTn0509, whole genome shotgun sequence.